AGGCUUAACACAUGCAAGUCGAGGGGCAGCAUGGUCUUAGCUUGCUAAGGCUGAUGGCGGCCGGCGCACGGGUGAGUAACACGUAUCCAACCUGCCGUCUACUCUUGGCCAGCCUUCUGAAAGGAAGAUUAAUCCAGGAUGGCAUCAUGAGUUCACAUGUCCGCAUGAUUAAAGGUAUUUUCCGGUAGACGAUGGGGAUGCGUUCCAUUAGAUAGUAGGCGGGGUAACGGCCCACCUAGUCAACGAUGGAUAGGGGUUCUGAGAGGAAGGUCCCCCACAUUGGAACUGAGACACGGUCCAAACUCCUACGGGAGGCAGCAGUGAGGAAUAUUGGUCAAUGGGCGAGAGCCUGAACCAGCCAAGUAGCGUGAAGGAUGACGG
rnacentral:rRNA from 1 species